CGUCUCGACCUUGUGAGAAAGAUAGCUGCACAUGCUUAAUAAAAAAUAUGUUAUCAGAAUUGCGUACCAAACUCUUUUGGAGAAUAAUUUCACCAUCCAAAAUUUAUUUACUCGUUAUGUUCAUUUUCUUCAAUAAGACAACCUCCAAGGUUCACUCUCUCAAUCUUCAGCUUCUACGAUGAUAUAAUAAUCGAUCGACAUAGAAUUACGAGGUACGAGAAAGCUGGAUUCUUGUACGGAAAAGACACCGCGGAACAGCAGAAAAAAGAAACCGUGUACUUUUCCCGUGGAGAGAGAAGUACAAAGGGGGAGUGAAAAGAGGUGGAGAAACCAGGAGGGAGAGACAGAAGAGCCAUAGAGGGAAACUCGUCGAUAUUCCGCGACUUUAUCGGUCUGCGGAAUAAUUCAUGAAAGAGGGCGGAUAGUGCCAAUUAUAAAAUAACGAAGCCGCCGUAGUGGCGUGGAAGAGACUAUAGGAACAAGAGAAGAGUCGACGAAGAUCGACAAUGGAUCAUAAUAUGGGAAAGACGAAGAAAGAGGAGAAAGAAGGACGUCGAAAGUGAACGAAGAAAGAAAAGGUGAACAAGGGUUGAAGAGGACGGAGAAAGCAUACGCAAGGGUGCGAGAGGAUGCAAGAAAGAGAAGUUCGUUCCAGCUGUCGUACUAAAAAUAGUAACCAAGGGGAUGGUGGCCUGUCCGACGACGCGAUCGCGAGAGCACCGUCUCAUAAGUUUUAUGGGGUUGAUCAACGAUCACGAUCCUCGAUCUGAAACGAAACCUUGGAUAGUUUCUUGUUUGGAAAUUGGAAUUAGCUUUCGGGAUUGACGACCAAGCCUCGUCAGGAUGGGUUCGGAUAUUUCUUCUCGCCAGUUUAAUUGCUUCUGCAGUGGUUUAUGCGUGGGGAUGGUGGACCUCGUGAUUAGGCAAUAUAAGAAAGGUUUUCCACGAAGCUUCAAAUUGGUCAUUUUUCAUGAAGAGGCAUUGGAAGAUUUUGAAGGUAAAAUAUCAGACUGUAGUAUACGAGAUUUUACUAAACGAUUCAUAUUUCGGAAUAAAUUGAACAGCAGCAACAGUAACGAUGUAACGAAAGCUGUGAACACGAAUCAGCUUUAUCUACAUAAUCUCUUCUGGAUCCACCUUUCAAGGCGGUAUGAGAAAUUGCCAGCGUUACGUUUUGAUCCACGACGACCACUUCCCCGACUUCGAACGUCACUUGCAGAGAAUCAUUUUAUCCCUUCUAAGCCUGUCACAGCGGGGGUUCCUUCAUCCAUACGGAAUUUUUGGGCUUUAAUUAAAAUUCGGUACGCGACACGCUAAAAUGUACGUUUUCACCCUGGCAUUGCUCGCCGCGAAACGACAAAUGGAAAGUUUCGUCAAAAAUGUCAAUUCGACGUUCCCGUUUCAUUUUUUGUUUUACCAUAUUUUGCAUCUUUGUUUAUUAAUAGAAGGAGAAUAAUGCACAUGUAUUUUUUGAACAGGAUUUUCUCUUUAGAUAAAGACCUAGGAUAUAUCGUU